UGCUGCCAUCAAAGGUUUUGAAGCAGGGACUUGAGGGCAAAAUUUCUGCUGCUCAAGUCAAAAGAAAGUGGGAGAACCUAAAACAAAAAUAUAAAACCCGGGAUAUCCAACAAAGAUAUCGAGGAACUUCCCCUCGUGGUCGGUGAUGGCCUGCAGCUGAACAGAGUGGAACAGCUUCCUAUUACAAUAGCAUGGGGCAUCACUUGCUGGUGGCUUGAUCCGGAUGUGGCAUCCGUCUAUUGCACCAGCUA